GACGAACGCUGGCGGCGUGCUUAACACAUGCCAGUCGAACGGAAAGACCCUGCUUUUGUGGGGUGCUCGAGUGGCGAACGGGUGAGUAACACGUGAGUAACCUGCCCUUGACUUUGGGAUAACUUCAGGAAACUGGGGCUAAUACCGGAUAGGAGCUCCUGCUGCAUGGUGGGGGUUGGAAAGUUUCGGCGGUUGGGGAUGGACUCGCGGCUUAUCAGCUUGUUGGUGGGGUAGUGGCUUACCAAGGCUUUGACGGGUAGCCGGCCUGAGAGGGUGACCGGCCACAUUGGGACUGAGAUACGGACCAGACUCCUACGGGAGGCAGCAGUGGGGAAUAUUGCACAAUGGGCGGAAGCCUGAUGCAGCAACGCCGCGUGCGGGAUGACGGCCUUCGGGUUGUAAACCGCUUUCGCCUGUGACGAAGCGUGAGUGACGGUAAUGGGUAAAGAAGCACCGGCUAACUACGUG
rnacentral:rRNA from 1 species